UCAGCUCAAGUACACCCAGUCUUUCAUGUGUCCCAAUUGAAGCCAUUUACUCCAAACUACACUCCUGUGUAUACGGAUAUUCCUGCCGUGCCGGAUUUGACAACAGUAGCACCGGUACCUGUUGCAAUCCUUGAUCGUCGGAUGGUACGCAAGGGCAAUGCAGCAGCACCUCAAGUUCUCAUUCAAUGGGCACAUGUUCCUCCAGAGUGUGCUACCUGGGAGGAUUACUACGUCGUCAAAAGCAGAUUUCCUGAAGCUCUUCUGUGGGACGAUGAGCAAGCUCAAGCGGGGGGCAAUGUCACGCCUUCCUCCAAUUCGGCGGACAGCGAGUCGCCGGCUCCAGACUCCCUGACGAGUGGACCGGCGAACGACGAUGACGUGGACGAUGAAUAGUUACUGUAAGCUGUCGCGUGGGUGUGACCCACCUGUAAGUGUAGAGUGGUAUAACUAGGAGGUGAGGAGUGGUGCUCGGGGUGUGUUGUAAUUGAAUCCUGUGAACCUUUCUCAUCCCCUUUCUGCUGAUAAUCUCAUCCCUUUUCGUCUGAUAUCUCAUCCCUUUCUCCAAGCUAUCCUCUGACCCCUAGAUCUCCAGAACGGGACACCACAAUUGGGUACUCCUAGCACCCUCAUCCUGGAUCCGACGCCACACCAUGGAUUCCGUCGACCACUGCUUCUACCUACCGCCUGGAUGGGGUGUCGCGGCCACAGCCUACCGGAUGGGACAAGGUCGCCGUGAGCUUCUCCGUCCUCACCCUCCCUCCUUGCCCCUCCCCCCGAAAUUCUACGCGAUCGGCCGAGCAGGAUUUGUAGCUCGUCGGCAGCACGCCGUGCGGUUUGUUUUUCCGGCGGAGGCACGACUCCCGCAUCCAAAAAAAGGCAACGACAGGGUCCACUGGCUUCACCCGCAGCCUUGCGCGCGACGACGACGACGGCCCGAGGAUAAAGACGCCGGCAGCAUGGCGUGCAGCUCGUCGCGGCUCAGAUUGCAGUUCACUGUCAGAUCCAUGGCGCUGGUCGUGCCUUCUCCUACUGCUCCGUGUGAGGUCAGGACGGGAUCUGCCACGCUGGGAACCAGGAUAACUAUCAUUGAAGGAUGUUUUUUUAAUUACUUGAACAAAGGCAGUCCUCCUUGUUGUAAUUGUUUUUAAUAUUUCCUUUGCUGUUUGUGUAAAUUAUUCAAACAAAAAUGCAGUGCUCUUUGAGAGAAGUUGAAGCCAAUAUCACAAUAACAAGUCAUUUGGACCGAAGAUGUCCGCUUGAAAGUA